rnacentral:rRNA from 1 species
GGAUUAGAUACCCUGGUAGUCCACGCCGUAAACUAUGAUUACUCGUUAUUGGCGAUACACAGUCAGUGACUAAGCGAAAGUGAUAAGUAAUCCACCUGGGGAGUACGGUCGCAAGAUUGAAACUCAAAGGAAUUGACGGGGGCCCGCACAAGCGGUGGAGCAUGUGGUUUAAUUCGAAGCAACGCGAAGAACCUUACCUACACUUGACAUCCAGAGAACUUGCUAGAGAUAGCUUGGUGCCUUCGGGAGCUCUGAGACAGGUGCUGCAUGGCUGUCGUCAGCUCGUGCUG